GAUGAACGCUGGCGGCGUGCCUAAUACAUGCGAGUCGAGCGAACAGACGAGGAGCUUGCUCCUCUGACGUUAGCGGCGGACGGGUGAGUAACACGUGGAUAACCUACCUAUAAGACUGGGAUAACUUCGGGAAACCGGAGCUAAUACCGGAUAAUAUAUUGAACCGCAUGGUUCAAUAGUGAAAGACGGUUUUGCUGUCACUUAUAGAUGGAUCCGCGCCGCAUUAGCUAGUUGGUAAGGUAACGGCUUACCAAGGCAACGAUGCGUAGCCGACCUGAGAGGGUGGUCGGCCACACUGGAACUGAGACACGGUCCAGACUCCUACGGGAGGCAGCAGUAGGGAAUCUUCCGCAGUGGGCGAAAGCUUGACGGAGCAACGCCGCGUGAGUGAUGAAGGUCUUCGGAUCGUAAAACUCUGUUAUUAGGGAAGAACAAAUGUGGAAGUAACUAUGCACGGCUUGACGGUACCUAAUCAGAAAGCCACGGCUAACUACGUG
rnacentral:rRNA from 1 species